rnacentral:rRNA from 1 species
CCUACGAUGGUCAGCAGUGAGGAAUAUUGGUCAAUGGACGAGAGUCUGAACCAGCCAAGUAGCGUGAAGGAUGACUGCCCUAUGGGUUGUAAACUUCUUUUAUAUGGGAAUAAAAUGUUCCACGUGUGGGAUUUUGUAUGUACCAUAUGAAUAAGGAUCGGAUAACUCCGUGCCAGCAGCCGCGGUAAUACGGAGGAUCCGAGCGUUAUCCGGAUUUAUUGGGUUUAACGGGAGCGUAGGUGGAUUGUUAAGUAAGUUGUGAACGUUUGCGGCUCAACCGUAAAAUUGCAGUUGAAACUGGCAGUCUUGAGUACAGUAGAGGUGGGCGGAAGUCGUGGUGUAGCGGUGGAAUGCUUAGAUAUCACGAAGAACUCAGAUUGCGAAGGCAGCUCACUGGACUGCAACUGACACGGAGGCUCGAAAGUGUGGGUAUCAAACAGGAUUAGAUACCCCGGUAGUC